rnacentral:rRNA from 1 species
UGGGGAAUUUUGGACAAUGGGCGCAAGCCUGAUCCAGCCAUGCCGCGUGCGGGAAGAAGGCCUUCGGGUUGUAAACCGCUUUUGUCGGGGAAGAAAUCUCUCGGGCUAAUACCUCGGGGGGAUGACGGUACCCGAAGAAUAAGCACCGGCUAACUACGUGCCAGCAGCCGCGGUAAUACGUAGGGUGCGAGCGUUAAUCGGAAUUACUGGGCGUAAAGCGUGCGCAGGCGGUCGUGCAAGACAGAUGUGAAAUCCCCGGGCUCAACCUGGGAACUGCAUUUGUGACUGCACGGCUGGAGUACGGCAGAGGGGGAUGGAAUUCCGCGUGUAGCAGUGAAAUGCGCAGAUAUGCGGAGGAACACCGAUGGCGAAGGCAGUCCCCUGGGCCUGUACUGACGCUCAUGCACGAAAGCGUGGGGAGCAAACA